ensembl:miRNA
GUUCAAGGGUGGAACUGACGUCCCUGAGUGUAUGUGGUGAACCUGAAUUUGCCUUGGGUUUCCUCAUAUUCACUCAGGAGUGUCAGUUCCCCUGUCACU